UACGUAGGGGGCUAGCGUUGUCCGGAUUUAUUGGGCGUAAAGAGCGUGUAGGCGGCCAGGUAGGUCUGCUGUGAAAACUCGAGGCUCAACCUCGAGACGUCGGCGGAAACCAUCUGGCUAGAGUCCGGAAGAGGAGAGUGGAAUUCCUGGUGUAGCGGUGGAAUGCGCAGAUAUCAGGAGGAACACCAAUAGCGAAGGCAGCUCGCUGGGACGGUAUUGACGCUGAGGAGCGAAAGCCAGGGGAGCAAACGGG
rnacentral:rRNA from 1 species